AGAAGGCUGUGGCAGAAGCAUGGGCAUGAAAUGAGUCUGAACAAGAGAAAGUGAAGUGUCAAGAGGCCAGAGUGAAAGGUGACUACAUCUUUUAUGAAAACAUCAACUUGGAGAAUGGAAGCUCCAGAAGCGAUAAGAAAAUUGUCACCUCAUGCCUAAAACAAGAGGCUUCUAUUCAGAGUUCAGCUCCAGGGAUGAGCAAAUCAUUUGCUUUCCACAGUAUCACUUAGCAGGUGCUAACGAGGGCAGCUAUUAAAAAAAAAAAAAAAUCCCUUUGGUCCUUUGG